rnacentral:lncRNA from 1 species
GAAAAUGAUAAACCGAUGGGAAGCUGCAUUAAAAGAAGAAUACUCAUCUGUGCACAAUCAAAUGCUGCAGUAGAUGAACUAGUUUCAAGAAUAACCAGUGAAGGUCUUUAUGGUAGUGAUGGGAUGAUGUACAAGCCUUGAGAAAGCACCGGAGAAGAAUAUAACUUGAUAUUAAACAUGAUACAAUGAGCCCUAUAUAUAAUACACAUAGCCUAACCUACUCCUAAUACACUUUGGAUUAGAGUUCUACUAUAUUUACACUUCUAUAAGCCUUAUAUUGUUAGAGUAGGUAAUGCAAAAACAGUUCAUGCUAAUUCAUUGCCGUUCUUCAUUGAUACACUUGUUGAUCACGGCAUAGCUGAGGAGAAAAUGAAUGCAAGUGAUACAAAGAAUGAUGCCGACAAGG